rnacentral:rRNA from 13 species
UAACUACGUGCCAGCAGCCGCGGUGAUACGUAGGGUGCGAGCGUUGUCCGGAUUUAUUGGGCGUAAAGGGCUCGUAGGUGGUUGAUCGCGUCGGAAGUGUAAUCUUGGGGCUUAACCCUGAGCGUGCUUUCGAUACGGGUUGACUUGAGGAAGGUAGGGGAGAAUGGAAUUCCUGGUGGAGCGGUGGAAUGCGCAGAUAUCAGGAGGAACACCAGUGGCGAAGGCGGUUCUCUGGGCCUUUCCUGACGCUGAGGAGCGAAAGCGUGGGGAGCGAACAGGCUUAGAUACCCUGGUAGUCCACGCUGUAAACGGUGGGUACUAGGUGUGGGGUCCAUUCCACGGGUUCCGUGCCGUAGCUAACGCUUUAAGUACCCCGCCUGGGGAGUACGGCCGCAAGGCUAAAACUCAAAGGAAUUGACGGGGGC